AAUCACAAUGUUUGUUCUCUUGUAUUAGUGUAUGCUGAAUCUGACUCUUGUUUUCUGAUCCCUGUCUGUCUUAGGGUUAUAUCCUGCCACUGCCCAUCUCUGUUAGUAUCUGAGUGCCUUCCAGGUAAAAUCGAUAGCAAUAGUGAAGUCCUUUGUGGGCUUCAUGGAGUAGCAGGCUCUUCUCCCUUAUCGGGGUAAAAAUUCCGCUUGGGUAAGGAGGUUGUGGUUUAGAUUUGAUUAAUUUUGUUUGUUUUUUUCUUUUGCUUUGGGUUUCUUUCAUCGUUGUUUGCUAGGGGUUUAGGGGUAGCAGGGUGUAUCAUUGCUGAGGUUUAAGGGUGGGUCAUUGUUGAGGUUUAUAGGUAGAAGGGUGGGUCAGUGUUAUGAGUGUCAUGCUUAUCCAGGAAAGGCUUUUUUCCAGACACUACUGAGUCUGCAGCUUUGUGCCAGUCCUUAUGAAUAAAUGUUUGUUUUCUUUCACUUUCGCUCACCUUGGCAUUUGCUUUCUGUAAUUCCUUAGGUGGGGAGGGAAGAGGUCUACCAUGUCUGCCUUUGAAGCAGGCUACUGUGUCAUCCCAAAGGGGUCAAGGAGGUACCAGUCCCUGAGCUCUAUAUCCACAUAAUGAAAAGGUUCACUGGGUAGCAGCAGAAUGCAAAUGAAAUGGUAAAAGUAAACCACCAGCAUUUCCUUAUUGUUCCCCAUUGUUAAUGAAGCUAAUAGGACUGCUGGGCUGAGCCCUGCUUUUCUAACAGUUCCAAUUUUUACAUACAAUACAUUGGGAAAAAGCUAAUGAACAGUGUAACUGACAGGAAUUCCUCAGUCUAGAGUCUCUUUUUGCCUCAUUAUCCUCACUGUAACAAACACAAAGCCCACUACGGCUUCUUUCUAAAAUCCAAUGGAAUAAGACAGAAUCAAACAGGAAAAGAGAUUGGCCUAAGUCUUUAACUGGUGUAAACUUGUGUACUUUUAUUCCCUUCAAGAGCUAUGCCAAUUUGCCUCAUUGAGGAUAUGGCCCACCAUGGGCAGAUGUCACCACCUACAGCACUACAAACCUCAGGACCCUUGGGAAGAGAGCUGAACCGAGCUGCAAAGCACUGGAGCGGAAACUUGGCUCGCAAUAUUUUAAGGCAAGCUCUUUCCAAAACAUCUUAGUGAAAGAUACUGCAGACAAUUUUGUA
rnacentral:lncRNA from 1 species